rnacentral:rRNA from 1 species
GACGGAGGGGGCAAGCGAUGUCCGGACUCACUGGGCGUAAAGGGUGCGUAGGUGGUGAGGUAAGUCGGAUGUGAAAUCUCCGAGCUCAACUCGGAAAUGGCAUUGGAAACUACCUUGCUAGAGGGUUGGAGGGGGGACUGGAAUACUUGGUGUAGCAGUGAAAUGCGUAGAUAUCAAGUGGAACACCAGUGGCGAAGGCGAGUCCCUGGACAACUCCUGACACUGAGGCACGAAAGCUAGGGGAGCAAACAGG